rnacentral:sRNA from 1 species
UUGAGAGUGGUACAGUAUUCUAGUCAACACAACUAAUCCCGAGGGCGGGGCUAAAAAUCCGUCGAAGGGCAUAUCGAUGAAGUUCCUUGUUUCGGCUCGCGACGCCCAGUCGAGGGUCGUUGCUGGGAGUAAGAAAGAUGGGGCGAUCUGCAAUGGCAUGCAGGCGUUGACCCUGCUUUCGUGGAGACUUACCAUUUGGGACAUGGUAAGAUAAACCUGUAUGCAUAAUGACAAGUAUACAGAGUAGCCUGCCUUGAGUGACAUAGGCGGAUGAUAAGUUCAACUUUUCUUAUGAGGGGCCCAAGUAAGUUAAGUUUUGUUGUCGAAACCUAUAUUGCAAAAGAGGCUAAGGAUUAGACUGGUUGUAGAGGAAAACUCCUAGACUGUUCAUAGAAGAAGUAUGUUGAGGAUUACAGUGCGGACUAAGUGGUAAUCCAGCCCUACUUAUGGCGACGUAGUAGUGAUGGAGUUAAAGGGAAACCGCUGUUAUGGCGACAUACAGUUUCCGUCAGGGAAACCCUGCUGGACCUUAAGCCGUAAGAUUUACUCAAAAUACUGCCACUCAU